UGUUAUGGCAGUCUAUGAUGACCCAGCACAUGUUGUUCGUUUUAAGAAAACUUUCACUGACGAUUUGACAAAACGCAAAGAAGGUACCAAUGUGAGAUUUCUAAAGAUAGCUAUGGCCCUCAACCCAAGGCUUAAGUAUCUGAAGUGCCUUCCAAAAUCUGAGAGGGAUGAGGUGUGGAGCAUGCUUUCAGAAGUCUUAAAAGAACAACAUUCCGAUGC